rnacentral:rRNA from 1 species
GGAUCAAUAUGUCGGUCGUGCCAUCGGUACGUACUGGUAUCAUUGGUUUCUCCUUUCUGACGAACCAUGAUGUCAUUAAUUUGGUGUUAUGGGAAGUUAGGACUGUUACUUUGAAAAAAUUAGAGUGUUUAAAGCAGGCAUUAGCUUGAAUACAUUAGCAUGGAAUAAUGAAAUAGGACGUUCGAUCCUAUUUUGUUGGUUUCUAGGAUUGACGUA